CAGUCGCCGCGGGAAUACGAAGGGGGCUAGCGUUGCUCGGAAUUACUGGGCGUAAAGGGAGCGUAGGCGGAUCGUUAAGUUGGGGGUGAAAGCCCGGGGCUCAACCUCGGAACUGCCUUCAAUACUGGCGAUCUUGAGUAUGAGAGAGGUGUGUGGAACUCCGAGUGUAGAGGUGAAAUUCGUAGAUAUUCGGAAGAACACCAGUGGCGAAGGCGACACACUGGCUCAUUACUGACGCUGAGGCUCGAAAGCGUGGGGAGCAAACAGGAUUAGAUACCCGAGUAGUCCCUGUCUCUUAUAC
rnacentral:rRNA from 1 species